rnacentral:rRNA from 1 species
UACGGGGGAUGCAAGCGUUAUCCGGAAUCAUUGGGCGUAAAGCGCCUGUAGGUUGUUUACAAAGUCUGUUGUUAAAGACUAGGGCUUAACCCUAGAAAAGCAAUGGAAACUCGUAGACUAGAGUAUGGCAGGGGUAGAGGGAAUUUCUAGUGUAGCGGUGAAAUGCGUAGAUAUUAGAAAGAACACCGGUGGCGAAAGCGCUCUACUGGACCAUUACUGACACUCAGAGGCGAAAGCUAGGGUAGCAAAAGGGAUUAGAUACCCCUGUAGUCUUAGCCGUAAACGAUGGAUACUAGAUGUUGUGCAUAAUGUACAGUAUCGUAGCUAACGCGUUAAGUAUCCCGCCUGGGGAGUACGCUCGCAAGGGUG